GAUGAACGCUGGCGACGUGCCUAAUACAUGCAAGUCGAGCGAACAGACGAGGAGCUUGCUCCUCUGACGUUAGCGGCGGACGGGUGAGUAACACGUGGAUAACCUACCUAUAAGACUGGGAUAACUUCGGGAAACCGGAGCUAAUACCGGGUAAUAUAUUGAACCGCAUGGUUCAAUAGUGAAAGACGGUUUUGCUGUCACUUAUAGAUGGAUCCGCGCCGCAUUAGCUAGUUGGUAAGGUAACGGCUUACCAAGGCAACGAUGCGUAGCCGACCUGAGAGGGUGAUCGGCCACACUGGAACUGAGACACGGUCCAGACUCCUACGGGAGGCAGCAGUAGGGAAUCUUCCGCAAUGGGCGAAAGCCUGACGGAGCAACGCCGCGUGAGUGAUGAAGGUCUUCGGAUCGUAAAACUCUGUUAUUAGGGAAGAACAAAUGUGUAAGUAACUAUGCACGUCUUGACGGUACCUAAUCAGAAAGCCACGGCUAACUACGUG
rnacentral:rRNA from 1 species